UACGGAGGGGGCUAGCGUUGUUCGGAAUUACUGGGCGUAAAGCGCACGUAGGCGGCUUUGUAAGUUAGAGGUGAAAGCCCGGAGCUCAACUCCGGAAUUGCCUUUAAGACUGCAUCGCUAGAAUUGUGGAGAGGUAAGUGAAUUCCGAGUGUAGAGGUGAAAUUCGUAGAUAUUCGGAAGAACACCAGUGGCGAAGGCGACUUACUGGACACAUAUUGACGCUGAGGUGCGAAAGCGUGGGGAGCAAACAGG
rnacentral:rRNA from 1 species